rnacentral:rRNA from 1 species
GCUACAGGCUUAACACAUGCAAGUCGAGGGGCAGCAUGGUCUUAGCUUGCUAAGGCCGAUGGCGACCGGCGCACGGGUGAGUAACACGUAUCCAACCUGCCGUCUACUCUUGGACAGCCUUCUGAAAGGAAGAUUAAUACAAGAUGGCAUCAUGAGUCCGCAUGUUCACAUGAUUAAAGGUAUUCCGGUAGACGAUGGGGAUGCGUUCCAUUAGAUAGUAGGCGGGGUAACGGCCCACCUAGUCUUCGAUGGAUAGGGGUUCUGAGAGGAAGGUCCCCCACAUUGGAACUGAGACACGGUCCAAACUCCUACGGGAGGCAGCAGUGAGGAAUAUUGGUCAAUGGGCGAGAGCCUGAACCAGCCAAGUAGCGUGAAGGAUGACUGCCCUAUGGGUUGUAAACUUCUUUUAUAAAGGAAUAAAGUCGGGUAUGUAUACCCGUUUGCAUGUACUUUAUGAAUAAGGAUCGGCUAACUCCGUGCCAGCAGCCGCGGUAAUACGGAGGAUCCGAGCGUUAUCCGGAUUUAUUGGGUUUAAAGGGAGCGUAGAUGGAUGUUUAAGUCAGUUGUGAAAGUUUGCGGCUCAACCGUAAAAUUGCAGUUGAUACUGGAUAUCUUGAGUGCAGUUGAGGCAGGCGGAAUUCGUGGUGUAGCGGUGAAAUGCUUAGAUAUCACGAAGAACUCCGAUUGCGAAGGCAGCCUGCUAAGCUGCAACUGACAUUGAGGCUCGAAAGUGUGGGUAUCAAACAGGAUUAGAUACCCUGGUAGUCCACACGGUAAACGAUGAAUACUCGCUGUUUGCGAUAUACUGCAAGCGGCCAAGCGAAAGCGUUAAGUAUUCCACCUGGGGAGUACGCCGGCAACGGUGAAACU